CACGUAGGGCGCGAGCGUUGUCCGGAAUUAUUGGGCGUAAAGAGCGUGUAGGCGGCCACUUAAGUCCUGCGUGAAAUCUUGCGGCUCAACCGCAAGCGGUCGUGGGAAACUGGGUGGCUAGAGUGCGGGAGAGGAGAGUGGAAUUCCUGGUGUAGCGGUGGAAUGCGCAGAUAUCAGGAGGAACACCGAUGGCGAAGGCAGGUCUCUGGGCAUUAACUGACGCUGAGGAGCGAAAGCAUGGGGAGCGAACAGG
rnacentral:rRNA from 1 species